rnacentral:rRNA from 1 species
GAUGAACGCUGGCGGCGUGCUUAACACAUGCAAGUCGAACGGCAACUAGGUUAUUUAAACGUCGUUCGAUUUAAUGUACUGCUAGUUGCUGACUGGGGACUAACGCGUGGGUAGCCUGCCGUAUACAGGGGGAUAACAUUCAGAAGCGGCUGCUAAUACCACAUAAGCGCACAGCGCUCCAUGGCCCCGCGAUAAAAACGCCGGUGGGAUAAGAGGGACCCGGGUUGGGUAAGAGGGUUGGUGGGGUAACGGCCCACCAAGGCGACGGUCCAUAGCCGGCCUGAGAGGGUGAACCGCCACAUUGGGACUGAGACACGGCCCAGACUCCUACGGGAGGCAGCAGUGGGGAAUAUUGCACAAUGGGGGAAACCCUGAUGCAGCGACGCCGCGUGAAGGAAGAAGUAUCUCGGUAUGUAAACUUCUAUCAGCAGGGAAGAUAGUGACGGUACCUGAAUAAGAAGCCCCGGCUAACUACGUG